AUCAAAGUCUUUCAGGAAUUGAAGGUCUAUAGAAUCAUCAAAAUCUUUCAGGAAGUGAAGGAUGACGUUACUGCAAAAAGACCCUCCAAGAUCCCAAGAAUGGGCAAAAUGAUGCUGGCUUACCUUAGCCCCAGCCAGUAUAAGGUUAGAUGAAUGAGGCUGAGGCUCAAAGAGGCCAAGAGGCUCAGCCCUGGCAUCUAAGAGAAUUUCCCCUGUGAUUCUUUUUACAUCCUCAUGGUGUGCACUGGAAUGAAUCAAGGCUUGUGAGUCUCAUUGGGAAGGGCAAAGAAAACAGCAAAGGGAUAGUAUGACCCCACAUAAAAUCAACGAGAACUUACUCUGGAAAUGCCGCUGGAUGGCCCCAAUGAAGUUAGAGAAACAGAGAAGGAAACUAGCGUGAUCAAGUGGAUGGAGGAUCUUCAAAUUGAGGACUGAUGUUUUUACAUUUUUAGAGUCGUAUCUUUAAGUCUGGAAAGCUGAAAGCUUCCACAUCACAAAAGGUGUGAAGGGAUUCAAUAAUAAAAGCUAAGAACCACAAUAUAUGGGAAAUUACAGGAAAAUUCUUGGAGCUCAAAAUAAGUGACUUUUGGAUCCAUGAAAUUAUGCAUCGCUUCACAUCGCGGAUAGUAGACUCAGGGGACUUUGGCAUGUAAACAACAGGGAGUACGAAAGGGCCAUGUGUGUAAAAAAAACCCAAGCAAUCUCCAAGGACUUAUAAAAAUCAUCUUUUGCUACUCCCACAGAUUCCUAAGAUGCUUCGGAGGAAUAGGAACUUCAAAGUGAUGUGGAGGUCCUAUAGUAUCUCAGAUGAGCAGUUGUACAAUUUUGCUAGAAAACUUCAAGUCUGUUAUUCAAAGAGGGGAUCAAGAGCCUGUCUUUGGAAGCCAAGAGACCUGGAUUUGCAUCUGGGUUUGAAUCUGGACUCAGCCACUUACUACCUCUGAGUUGUGGGGACGAUCACUUAAUCUCUCUGAAUUUCAGUUUCCACAUCUGUAGCACGUGGAAACAUGCUCAUGGACACGAGACUCUUUUCCCCCACAAACUCACAAGGUGUUGUCAGGAUUAAAUAAGAUAAUAUGUGUAGGACCUAACACACUCAAUAAAUGGUACAUUUUAUGAACUCAUUUGUACCUGUAAAUUCCUGAAGCCUCAGUUACAGAUAAAACAUGUACGUAUUUUUACAGUGAGCAUUUGAAGCAAUUGAAGCAUACCUAGGGAGUUCAUGACCUUGGUUAUUUAUUUGUUGUGUGUGAAGACACAUGCUGACUGGGCACUUCAUAUAACUCCAUCCCACUACUGUCCCUGUAAGUGGUUACAGAUAUUAAAUAGAUGGCAUUGGGAUUUACUGUGAAGUCCAAGAUGGUUCUAUCAACCCUCGUGAAAUUACUUUCAUCAACAAAUGUCAGCUUUGGAAUUUUCCUUAUAAAAGCUAAUUCCAGUCUUCCUUGGAAUUCUUAAAUAGCUCAGCAAGCAUUUGAGAUCUGAUAUAAGCAAAGAAACCAUUUGCUUAGGAAGAAAUAAACUACCUUAAAUGCAUACACACUUGCAAAACACAGUCAUUGCUUUCACUGCUUUCUUUUAGUAUUUUGGGGCCAAGCUCUCUAGUCAUGGGCUACACAAAAGCUUUUUCUGAAAUCCAUCUCCUGCAAGAGAUUAGCACCAAUUCUGAGAGAUUCCAUUCGUCUUGUUUACAUUCCUUGUGCAAUUUCGGGAACACUGUGUUCCUUUUCUUGCAGUUACACAACGACAUUGCCAUGCAGCACUGGACAAGCUUCCCACUUCAUGCCUGGAUUUCCGGCCAGCAUUCUUUGCAGACAGCUCUGGGAUGUCUAGGUGGGCUGGUACAGAGAAAAGAACAUGGGCUUUAGAGACAGUCAGACAAACCUGGGCUCAAGCCCUUCUGCUGCCAUUUGUGAUGUACUUACUUAAUCUGACUCUUAGUUUGUUUUCCUUCUCUUCUGUAAAGUGGAAAUAAUCAUAUAGUCUCGGGAGGAUCAUUGUGAGGAUCAAAUAAGACAAUGUGUGGCGAGUCUCCAGCAUAGUGCCUCACAAUCGUUCUGUGGAUUUGGAAUAGAGACGGCAGGAGUGGCUUGCCACUGUUCCAUGAUAUCUCGUGCCUGGAUAGCUGGGAGCGACACAGCAGUUGGGUGAUAAAAUCAUCUGAAGGCUCCUUCACUCACAUGCCUGGUGCCUGGCCUGGGAGCACUUGAACGUGAGCACCAUUGACUAGAGCACCCAUCCAGGGCCUCUCCUUGUGGUGUGGCUUCCUCGCAGCAUGGCGACCUCAGGGUAAUCGGACUUCUAACAUGGAAGCUCGGAGUUCCCAGUGCAAGUGCUUCAGGAGGCAACACAGAAGCUCCACGGCCUUUUAUGACCUGAAGUCGUGCAGCAUCACUUCCACUGCAUUCUAUUGGUGGCAGUCAAGUCACAGAUUCAAGGGAAGGAGAAUUAGACUCCAUGUCUUAAGGGGUUAGUGGCAAGGUUCUAGAAGAGCUUGGAUGGGAGAUGUUGUGAUCUCUUCAUCUUUGGAAAAUAUAAUCGGAAAAUAUAAUCGGGAUUCAUGUUGCAGAAUUUGAAGUCACACGUGGUCAGUGCUCUGCACUUUGCAAACAAAGUCCAGGAGGGGAAAAAUCUUUUCUCAUGGAGGUGAAUCUGGUUGCAUUCUAGCCAAACCUGGAAAGAUGAGACAGACAAGCAGGAACUAAAUUAGGCAGAGGAGACUGCGUUUUAAUACACGGGGGUAAGAAAGUAUGGGAAAAUGUGACCACAGCCUUGAACCUACGGGAUUGGAGAGGGGCUUGGGGGGGAAGGAGGCAAGCUCGAAAUGUAGAUGGAGGCCGAAUUUGUUUGAGCAUUUGACUGACAAAGCGAAGGACCAGAAAAGCUGCUUCUCUCAGUGCCUCCUGCCAUCCCCCUCCCCUCAGUAGUCCCUCUACAUUUAAAAAUCUUAUUAGUAUCACUUUAAAUCAGGUGAGCACUCCUUUGCUCUUUUGGAUGUACUUAGGCAUAAAUGUACUUUGCUAUCUCUUGGGUUCUCAUUUUCACACUAUUACAUCUUUGUGUACUUUAUCUCGGCCCCGCCCUACAGCUUUGAUUUUUCCCAUGACCUUAUUCAAAACAUAAAGAGAAUAGACCCACUUGACUCUCUUUCUUCCUGGUUUUCUUCUUCAUUCAUUCCAUCUCUCUCCUUGCUCUGUAAAACUGCCCUUGAUUCAGCAUCACACAUUUUAAUCUUUAGUUGUGUGUGUUACUCGUAUUUUAAAGAGCCUACACCCUGGAUGCUGACUUAAAAAUUUUUCCAGGCAAAUUUAUUGAAGGUUGGGGCGAUAUUUAAUCAUCUUUGUAUCUCCAGUGCCUAGCAAGAAGGCAAGAUUCAGUGGUUGGAUCAACACAAUCCAUAUCUGGAAGUACACCUGGGUGUUAUUCAAAUCAAGAGUCAGGAAGGAAAGGCAAUUUAAAAAUACACUCUCAGCAUCUGUAUUGGGCAAUUGCUACGGGGAAUAAAGAGACAAAGAAGCAGUCCCUCCCCUCAAUGAGCUUCCGAUCUACUGGUGGUGCCAAAGCCCUAACACAUGGAAAGAUAAAUAAUGACAGGCUGGUAGCAGAAUAAAGGCCUCCCUAAAAUGUCCACAUCUUAAUGGAAACUGUGAAUAUGUUACUUUACGUGACUAAAGAGGCUUUGAAGAUGUAAUUAAGUCAAAGCUCCAAGAUGGGGAGCUUAUCCUGGAUUAUCCAGCAGGGCCCAAUGUAAUCACAUGAGUCCUUAUAAAGGAAAGAGGGAGGCAAGAGAGUCCAACUUCCGCAAUAUGAGAGGAACUUGACCGGCCACUGUUGGCUAUGUGUCAAGAAAUGGAACCAGACGCUAGAAGCUGGAAAAGGCAGACAGGAACACAGCCCUGCCUACCCCUUGAUUUUAGUCCAGGAAGACCCAUCUCGGACUUCUGAUCUUCAGAUUGCAAGGUCGUGACUUCCUUCUUGGAUGUGGAGGCCAAGGCAUAAGCUGGAGGAUGGAGGGUUGGCGUAACUCUACAAGAAGUGUUUCCUCAGACUUCUGGGUGGAUUCUUGAGUCAAUAGAAACCUGAUACUGCUGAGAAGUAACCAGCUCCUUGGAGCACAGGCUCUUGGGCCCGGAGACAGUGUCAUGCACACCCAUCCAUCCAUUCCUAUUUGGAGCUGAAACCUCCCGAACAGUGAGAGAAGGUAAUUUCUGCAGCAGCAUUUGCUGUUCCACAGCUGGAAGGGGAGCUAAAUGGAGUGCAGGAAAGCGACUAUGGAGUUCACUGAGUUAUAGAGCAAUCUCCCUUUCAAACCUCCUAAGAAAUCAUCACUAAGGAUACAUUUUUUCAGACUCUUGGGAUGGUCGGUCUUGUAGCUGUUGUAAAAUGGAAGAAUUGCCCCAGCACCAUUCUACCUUUCUGAUGACUGCUGAAAAUGUGGUGACGUGGAACACCAAAAGCAUAUCCCCUUGCCAAGAGGAAAUCCCUCGUUAAUGGCUUCCCAGUAAUGGUUUCUCAUAAAAUGGUGUUUAAAAACAUUUUUAUAUAGGAAAUAUUCACGCAGAAUAGAAAGCUAGGCAAAAUAGCUUAUUUUAUGACCUCAGAACAUCUCGUUUUCUUUUUCUCUCUCUUCUCUGUUUCUGAGUUCUGUUUGGCUUAAAUGCAUAAAGGUGUGUUUUUUUUUUGUUUUUUUUUUUAGGAAGA